rnacentral:rRNA from 1 species
GAACGCGUGCGGCAUGCCUUACACAUAGCAAGUACGAACGGCAGCACGGGAGCAAUCCUGGUGGCGGAGUGGCGAACGGUGAGUAAUAUAUCGGAACGUGCCCAGUCGUGGGGGAUAACGUAGCGAAAGCUACGCUAAUACCGCACACGAUCUAUGGAUGAAANCGGGGGAUCGCAAGACCUCGCGCGAUUGGAGCGGCCGAUAUCAGAUUAGGUAGUUGGUGAGGUAAAGGCUCACCAAGCCGACGAUCUGUAGCUGGUCUGAGAGGACGACCAGCCACACUGGGACUGAGACACGGCCCAGACUCCUACGGGAGGCAGCAGUGGGGAAUUUUGGACAAUGGGCGCAAGCCUGAUCCAGCAAUGCCGCGUGCAGGAUGAAGGCCUUCGGGUUGUAAACUGCUUUGUACGGAACGAAACGGUGAGCUCUAAUACAGUUUGCUAAUGACGGUACCGUAAGAAUAAGCACCGGCUAACUACGUG